rnacentral:rRNA from 1 species
UAGCUAGUUGGUGAGGUAAAGGCUUACCAAGGCGACGAUCUGUAGCGGGUCUGAGAGGAUGAUCCGCCACACUGGAACUGAGACACGGUCCAGACUCCUACGGGAGGCAGCAGUGGGGAAUUUUGGACAAUGGGGGCAACCCUGAUCCAGCCAUGCCGCGUGAGUGAAGAAGGCCUUCGGGUUGUAAAGCUCUUUCGGCCGGGAAGAAAUCGCAUGGGCCAAUACCCUGUGUGGAUGACGGUACCGGAAUAAGAAGCACCGGCUAACUACGUGCCAGCAGCCGCGGUAAUACGUAGGGUGCGAGCGUUAAUCGGAAUUACUGGGCGUAAAGCGUGCGCAGGCGGUUUUGUAAGACAGGCGUGAAAUCCCCGGGCUUAACCUGGGAACUGCGUUUGUGACUGCAAGGCUAGAGUACGGCAGAGGGGGGUGGAAUUCCACGUGUAGCAGUGAAAUGCGUAGAGAUGUGGAGGAACACCAAUGGCGAAGGCAGCCCCCUGGGUCGAUACUGACGCUCAUGCACGAAAGCGUGGGUAGCAAACAGGAUUAGAUACCCUGGUAGUCCACGCCCUAAACUAUGUCAACUAGGUGUUGGGUGGGUAAAACCAUUUAGUACCGUAGCUAACGCGUGAAGUUGACCGCCUGGGGAGUACGGCCGCAAGGUUAAAACUCAAAGGAAUUGACGGGGACCCGCACAAGCGGUGGAUGAUGUGGAUUAAUUCGAUGCAACGCGAAAAACCUUACCUACCCUUGACAUGCCAGGAACUUGCCAGAGAUGGCUUGGUGCCCGAAAGGGAGCCUGGACACAGGUGCUGCAUGGCUGUCGUCAGCUCGUGUCGUGAGAUGUUGGGUUAAGUCCCGCAACGAGCGCAACCCUUGUCGUUAAUUGCCAUCAUUUAGUUGGGCACUUUAACGAGACUGCCGGUGACAAACCGGAGGAAGCUGGGGAUGACGUCAAGUCCUCAUGGCCCUUAUGGGUAGGGCUUCACACGUCAUACAAUGGUCGGUACAAAGGGUUGCCAAGCCGCGAGGCGGAGCCAAUCCCAGAAAGCCGAUCGUAGUCCGGAUUGCAGGCUGCAACUCGCCUGCAUGAAGUCGGAAUCGCUAGUAAUCGUGGAUCAGCAUGUCACGGUGAAUACGUUCCCGGGUCUUGUACACACCGCCCGUCACACCAUGGGAGCGGGUUCCGCCAGAAGUAGGUAGCCUAACCGCAAGGGGGGCGCUUACCACGGCGGGGUUCGUGACUGGGGUGAAGUCGAAACAAGGUAGCCGUAGGGGAACCUGCGGCUG